AAGCGAGAAGAAGGACAAAAUGAAAUACUUAGUUGUUUUUUUUCUCAUUACGAUGAUGGUAGUUUCUAGUGCAUUCAUCGUUAAUCAAGCUGAGCUCCAAGCGCGUCAACUUAUCCAAACUGCCGAUGGGCCAUGCUUGCUAAGACGUACCUCGUGUUAUGGUAAAAAUACGCCGUGCUGUGG